rnacentral:lncRNA from 1 species
AGAGAGAUCAUAGUGAUAGAGAAAAGUCCAGAUCGAAGUCCAAGGCAAAAAAAAAGGUAAAGUGCUAGAGCUAUGGUAAAUCGAGGCACAUGAAGAAGGAUUGCAGACUAAAAAAGAGAUGUGGAGAAGAUAAGCUCGAGUCCAAUAAUCCUCAGAAAAAUGUGGUAGAUGCUGGUUCUACUGUAUCUAAAGAUAGAAAUGCAUUAUCUGUUCAAGGG